AUACGGAGGGUGCAAGCGUUACUCGGAAUCACUGGGCGUAAAGCGCGCGCAGGCGGCUUGAUAAGUUGGAUGUGAAAGCCUACGGCUCAACCGUAGAACUGCAUCCAAAACUGUCAAGCUAGAGUCUGUGAGGGGAAGAUGGAAUUAGUUGUGUAGGGGUAAAAUCCGUAGAGAUAACUAGGAAUACCAAAAGCGAAGGCGAUCUUCUGGAACAGUACUGACGCUGAGGCGCGAAAGCGUGGGGAGCAAACGGAAUUAGAAACCCUAGUAGUCC
rnacentral:rRNA from 1 species